AUUGAACGCUGGCGGCAGGCUUAACACAUGCAAGUCGAGCGGGGUGAUGGUGCUUGCACUAUCACUUAGCGGCGGACGGGCGAGUAAUGCUUAGGAAUCUGCCUAUUAGUGGGGGACAACAUCUCGAAAGGGAUGCUAAUACCGCAUACGUCCUACGGGAGAAAGCAGGGGAUCACUUGUGACCUUGCGCUAAUAGAUGACCCUAAGUCGGAUUAGCCAGUAGGUGGGGUAAUGGCCUACCAAGGCGACGAUCUGUAGCGGGUCUGAGAGGAUGAACCGCCACGCGGGGUGUGAGACACGGCCCAGACUCCGACAGGAGGCAGCAGUGGGGAAGAUUGGACAAUGGGGGGAACCCUGAUUCAGCCAUGCCGCGUGUGAGAAGAAGGACUUAUGGUUGUAAAACACUUUAAGCGAGGAGGAGGCUCAUUUGGUUAAUACCCAAGAUGAGUGGACGUUACUCGCAGAAUAAGCACCGGCUAACUCUGUGCCAGCCGCCGCCGUAA
rnacentral:rRNA from 1 species